CCUGGAUUCAAAUGGCUGGAUCAACAGUUCUCAGGUUCAGCGUCACAGCUUCUUCCCAACUAGGUGACUUAACGUUUGGCUUUCCUCCAUGAUGGAGGGAGUCUUUGAGUCUCUUUCGUCGCGGGCGGAGUAUCUAUGCCCCAGGUUCUGAGGAUUUUCAUUCCUUCGUCUGGGUUCUGUAUCGUAGUUGGUCGUCCAUUUCUCUGUACGAUCAGCUUCACCGGGUAUCCCCAUCUGUAUGGUAUUUGUUGUUGGCGGAGUUGCGUCGUGAUUCCCGCGAAUUCCUUCCUGCGUCUAAGUGUGUAUGCUGAUAUAUCGGCAUAAAUCGCUAUUGCUUGGUAUGCCGCCGGCAUGUCCGUUUUUUUCCUGGUUCUGUUUGCCCUCAUUACCUCUUCCUUUAUGUGAAAGUAAUGCAUUCUCAGCAGCACGUCUCUAGGGGUUUCAGGUGGUAAGAAGGUGGGUUUUGGCACUCUGUGAGCCCGAUCCAUCAGGAACAUGUCAGGGGGCACAUCAGGGGCGAGCGCUUUGAACAAUCCCACUAGGUAGGCCGUGAGUUCUGUCGGGCCUAUAUUUUCCGCUAUACCUCUAAUGCGGAGGUUGUUCCUCCGGCCUCUGUCUUCCAGGUCAGCGGUUUUCCCCUCCUGCGCCUCCAUUCUCUCUGUAAGGCUGUCUAGUUUUUCUGCCAUGGAGUUUUGGGCCUCCUCAUAUGCCACCAUUUUGUCCUCCAGCCCUGCCGUCCUGUCUCCCAGCUCUUUAACAUCUGCACUAAUGGUGCGGAUUUCAUUUUGCAGCGUGAGCUGUAACUUGCCUGCCAUAGUGUCCAGCAUCGCCUGCAGGAUCCCCUGCGUGACCUGUAAGUCGGCAGCCGCCUGUUCUGGGGAGGGAGUGAGCUCUUCCUCGCCGCCAUCUUGAUUUUCGCCAUGCGGUCCAGAUCCUCGUGUCUGGCUCGCUUUAACGCCGAAGAAAUUAGAUUUCUCCCCCCGCUCUGUCUGCCGGCGUUGUUUAGGCUGGGACAUCGUGUCUCGGGUCGUGUGGUGUCGGGUCACCCACUUUGCAGCUUGUUUAGGCCGUUGCCGCACGGAGCUCCGGCUACAUGCGACCGCUCGCUCCGGAGUCUAGGACACGCCCCCCACCGCCACAUACAAAUUUUUUGAACAAAUCAUAUGUUCUGAUAUAGGCUUUCUUGGUAAUGAGUGACAACCCAGCCUGUGCGAGCGACCUACUGUGACUUAACAGGGUAUUUAGAGCAUUACGAGGUCUGUGAACUGUGGAGGUUCUUUGGGUUAUAAGUUUGAUGUCUGAUGGA